ACGCUCGACACCUACGGGAGGCAGCAGUGGGGGAUAUUGCGCAAUGGGGGAAACCCUGACGCAGCAACGCCGCGUGAAGGACGAAGGUUUUCGGAUUNUAAACUUCUUUUGUCAGGGACGAAGAAAUGACGGUACCUGACGAAUAAGCUCCGGCUAACUACGUGCAAGCAGCCGCGGUAAUCUGAGCGGGCUGGCAAGGC
rnacentral:rRNA from 1 species